rnacentral:rRNA from 1 species
GAGAGUUAAACAGUACGUGAAAUUGUUGAAAGGGAAACGAUUGAAGUCAGUCAUGCCGGCGUUGGAUUCAGCUUGCUUCGCGGAGCUUGCGCAUUUCCUCGCAUGGCAGGUCAGCGUCAGUUUUGCGCGGCGUGAAAAGGCUCGGGUAAGGUAGCUCUCUUCGGGGAGUGUUAUAGACCUGGGCAAAUGCGCAGCGCGGGACUGAGGAUUGCAGCGGACACCUCUUCGGAGGCGCGGCGACCGAACCCUGCUCGGCCACCCUCGUUCGAUAGCGUGCUAGCGGACGCGGGAGCGGCAGUGCACCGGAACAGGCAAGCCAGCGGUUCGCUUAGGAUGCUGACGUAAUGGCUUUAAACGA